ACUGGUUUCUGGCCGAUUUUCAUCCACAAUAACAGGCUACAUUUCUGCUUUGCAACCAAUAGCCUAAUGUACGGGGAAAUAUGGCUCAUAUCAGCCGCAUAUGGCAGGACCAUAACAGAAAACAUGAAUAACAGUCAAAAGUGUGCAUCACACCAAUAAUCGUUAUCACUUAACUUGUAGCAAUAUGUGAGCAGAUCGAUACUGAAGACUGCUCCAAUGACAUGUGUGCGCAAAAACCUCCCUUUUGUUUUCAUCUCCGCUGCAAUCAACCGUUUCCACCUCCAUGCACAUGGAAAAGACUCUACAUAGCAAGCACCCAGAAAAAGAGCAAACGUUUGCAGUGCAAGUGUCUGUAAUUGACAUCAAAGCCUUGAAUAGAAGCGACUCAUCUGGUUUGACUCCUGAUGUCGAUGCCAGAAGCCAGUAGUAGCGCAAGAUGCGCUAUAUCUUCAAUAUUAUUGUUUGUGGGCUUUAUGGGAAAAAAAGAUGAAUGGAGGAAGCCAGAGAGGAUGCCGCAUGUGUGAAUACCACUGCAAAACUACAAGUUGCGUUGGUUAAAAGCAGAGGAUAAAUGGAUAGUGUGCUGAUGCUGGAGAUUACAUCCACUGGAGUGUCCAUAACAAGGUCUAAACUGAGUGCCAGAGACGCACUGUUAAGUCCCUAUGCAGAAAUAUCAUAAGAAUAUAAUGGAACCAACCUGUACAGGAGCGUCUGCAGUGAAGUUUCAGCUUCUUCUCGGACUCUAAUCCCUCUCUCUCUCUCUCUCUCUCUCUCUCUCUCUCUCUCUCUCUCUCUCUCUCUCUCCCCCCCUCUCUCUCUCUCGCUUUCUCUCUCUCUCUUUAUGUAGCCUAUGUAUGCCUCUCUCUCUCUCUCUCUCUCUCUCUCUCUCUCCGAUGCUCUGCCCUCGCAAGAGAAGAGAAGAAUGCAGUCAGCGACGUUUGGGGAGAAACUAAAACUCUCUGUGUUUGCAAAGGAAAUGAACAAAGAGGAGCAUUUGAACGAUUGAUCCAGUUCUCUGAGGCUCGCUGGAUAAAAUCCUCAUAUAGACAGAGUGUCUGGCACUUCUUCAUAAUAUGUCGUUCCUCUCAGGGCUCAGAAAUGUGUUGCUGUGAUCUCCUGUGAAACAGAAGGACAGGAGAGAUCAAAAACAGAGAAGAAGAACCAAGGAGAGAAGAACAGAGAUACCAAGUGGGACAGAAAAUGGGAAGAGACAACUACCUGUUUUCAAAAUAUGUGCCAGAUUUUUAUUUUCUCUCCAGUGGCAUGAAAGCCUCAGGUUAAUGAAGAGGAACAGAAGUGUAAAACAUUUUUCACAGCAUGCCACAUUCUCAGAAAUGUGAAACUAUUUUAAAUCUGAUGUCUCCACUUUUCACCAUGUGGAUUCAUUCACUGCAUUAUUUUAUACUUUUAUACUAUACUUUUAUACUCUGAUGGGCCUCUGGGGUGAAUGUAAGGCUCUACUUGCUUUCUAAAAUGCUGAAAUGCUUCUGUCUCGCUUUCAUGCCGAUAAAGAUUACUUAAUUGAAUGAAAUUAAAUACAUUUGAAACGGAGAUACAGUAAAGGCCAGAUCAAAUAGCAAACCAACGUCUUGCUUUUCUGAAAACCUCCAUCUCAUGUAUUUGCCAUGUGAAAUAUAUUCAUACAGUAUGAGCUGUAUAUAUAAAGUGUGUAUGCAUGCA